GGGAGGUAGUGACAAUAAAUAACAAUACAGGGCCCUUUCGGGUCUUGUAAUUGGAAUGAGUACAAUUUAAAUCUCUUAACGAGGAACAAUUGGAGGGCAAGUCUGGUGCCAGCAGCCGCGGUAAUUCCAGCUCCAAUAGCGUAUAUUAAAGUUGUUGCAGUUAAAAAGCUCGUAGUUGAAUUUCGGGAUCUAUCCGUCGGUCGGGCCUCACGGUCCGCACUGGUGUGAUGGAUUCCUACCUUCUGAAUAACCGGUAUGCCAUUAAUUUGAUGUGCCGGGGAAGCAGAACCAUUACCUUGAAAAAAUUAGAGUGCUCAAAGCAGGCCUAUGCCUGAAUACAUUAGCAUGGAAUAAUAAAAUAGGACGGCAUGGUUCUAUUUUGUUGGUUUCUAGGAUCACCGUAAUGAUUAAUAGGGAUAGUUGGG
rnacentral:rRNA from 1 species